CGAAUGUGCUUUUUCCCACAUGAAUUUUAGUCAUAUAUCAUCCGUCACUAACAUCAGACAUGCGUUUGAUUGUGUGCAAGCUAAAAUGGCGUCAAUUAAUAAAAAUUGUGAAUUUGUGCCGCAUUUAAAACGAAAAAAAAUGGCCGAUACCAUUCUAACCUAAUAGUCGCAGUAAGCUCAUUAUUUGUAUAUCUUACCUAUGCCCUAUCUGCUAUUUUAAUAUCGUUAAAUUCUUGUUCUGGUAUAUCUAUAUUACUGCUAGUAUGAGAAUUUUUCAAUCUUACUAUAGUAUAUACAUAUUGCAGCUGGCCCAGCGAGAUUUGAAGUAUAUAUUGUAUUUUGUUGUUGUUAACCUGUGUGAGAUAAUAUUUUUUUUAUUAACCAGAGAGAAUCGAACUUGCGACUGCUAGAUUAGAACGUCUGCACGCUAGCACUGAGCUGUAUCGGCCGGUGAAUGUUGAUGCACUAUUUGUAUUUUUGAAUUAUUGACCUUGAAAUUCAACAAAUUCAUAGAAACACAUGAUUUCUAUCGCUUUUUCCCUGCUGAAAUACAUUUUUUUAUUGAAAAAUAUACCUUUUUCCAUUUGGCAUUCGACUAUUUGUUUACAUUGAAUAGAAAAAAAGUAAAAAAAAUCGAAAAAAUAGUCAACAAUAGUCUUUUGCAUAACAAAAAUUGUCAGUGUAGACAGACAAUGCAUUGAGUGUGUACGAGCGUGAGAAAAAAUAUGUCACAAUAUGGUGUACUCGUUCUGUAUCAUCAACAGCAUUGAUGUACACCGUAAAUUAUCACGCGCUGCAUACACAAUGUAGGCUGCAUACACAAUGUAGCUAUAGGAAUGUCGCACGCACACAAAUGUCGACCAACAGUUGUCUGUUAUAGUGUGCGCACCAGCUGUCAAUCAUGUGAUCAACGCUAUAAUGUUGUUAUGUUAUCACAUUCAUGCUUACAUUGUUUAUAGAACGAUUCAUCUCGAAAUAUUAAUUUUUUUUUAAAUAAAUUACGAUUCCAACUGCAA